CUCACCCAGAGCCAGACCUCCACCUCCUGUCAGAAGUCCUCCAGAACAGCUGAAGGGCGAGGCUGAGAGGCUGGGGACCGGAGGAUUGUGGUGCCAGGGUGGACCGGAGACUGAGGCUGGAGACCAGGGGCCGGCAGCACCGGAUCAGAGGACCAGGAAUCCAUGGCUGAAGGAGCUGAUGGAGGAGCUGUGCUGAUGGAGGAGCCGUGCU